CCUGAUUUGCGCAAAUCAAAGUUAAUGCCACGUGCUGAUGGUCCCUUUAAGGUGUUAGAGAAAAUAAAUGAUAAUGCAUAUAAACUUGAGCUGCCUGCAGAUUUUGGGGUUAGUCCCACUUUUAACAUUGCAGAUUUGAAGCCUUAUUUGGGUGAGGAAGAUGAACUUCCGUCGAGGACGACUUCAUUUCAAGAAGGGGAGGAUGAUGAGGAUAUCAAUACAAUUGUUACACCCACAGCCCCUGCUGCUAUACAUACUGGACCAAUUACUAGAGCUCGUGCACGCCAACUAAAUUACCAGGUACUUUCGUUUCUUGGUAAUGAUUCUAAUGUUCAUGAGAAUAUGAUGCUG
rnacentral:rRNA from 1 species